GACGAACGCUGGCGGCGCGCUUAACACAUGCAAGUCGAGCGAAGCGGCGGACGGGGGAGUAACACGUGAGUAAGCUGCCUUAGACAUUGGGAUAGCCUCGGGAAACCGGGAUUAAUGCCAAAUGGUAUAAGAUGGACUCGCGUCCCAUUAGCCGGUUGGUAGGUAACGGCCCACCAGGGGGACGAUGGGUAGCCGGCCUGUGAGGGUGAACGCCCACAUUGGAACUGGGAAACGGUCCAAACUCUACGGGAGGCAGCAGUGGGGAAUAUUGCACUAUGGAGGGAACUCUGAUGCAGCGACGCCGCGUGAACGAAGAAGGCUUUCGAGUCGUAAAGUUCUUUUAUAUGGGAAGCGGUACCAUAAGAAAAAGCCCCGGCUAACUACGUGCCAGCAGCCGCGGUAAUAC
rnacentral:rRNA from 1 species